rnacentral:rRNA from 1 species
GACGAACGCUGGCGGCGUGCUUAACACAUGCAAGUCGAACGGAAAGGCCCUGCUUUUGUGGGGUGCUCGAGUGGCGAACGGGUGAGUAACACGUGAGUAACCUGCCCUUGACUUUGGGAUAACUUCAGGAAACUGGGGCUAAUACCGGAUAGGAGCUCCUGCUGCAUGGUGGGGGUUGGAAAGUUUCGGCGGUUGGGGAUGGACUCGCGGCUUAUCAGCUUGUUGGUGGGGUAGUGGCUUACCAAGGCUUUGACGGGUAGCCGGCCUGAGAGGGUGACCGGCCACAUUGGGACUGAGAUACGGCCCAGACUCCUACGGAAGGCAGCAGUGGGGAAUAUUGCACAAUGGGCGGAAGCCUGAUGCAGCAACGCCGCGUGCGGGAUGACGGCCUUCGGGUUGUAAACCGCUUUCGCCUGCGACGAAGCGUGAGUGACGGUAAUGGGUAAAGAAGCACCGGCUAACUACGUG